AUAUUCUUCUUUGACGCAAAUUUCAAGUAACAAUAUCAUUUAUAACAGAAACGAAACAUUUCAUAUGGCAGAACAGAAAAAAGAGCGCAUGUAUUUGAUAGCAUUCGGUGCAUGUUUGUUUAGUAUCAGAUUGCAUGGGAAAAAAGCGUAUGCGAGAGAGAAAGGUGGUCGUUUUGUGGUUGGUGGGUUGGUGCGUUGCCAUUUAUCAAAAGGUUUAUUCGAAAAACCUAAAACGUAACCUCUGAAAUUCAACAAGUGCCCCUCGAACAUCGAGCGAGAGAGAAUAAACGAGUAAGCGAGCAACAACAUCCAACCUCUAUUACGUGCGUGACGCGACUGAUGUUUUGCGCGGGGAGUGGGGAGACACGAGUCCCCCUACAUCGUGGUAGGGGUACGCGAUCGGUGUACUUCGGAAUAGUUCGUAGCUAGUCGGACGCGUUCGGCUUCUGGUUUCUCCCGCGGCCGCAUAAGCGGUGUCAGCGUGUGCGCAGACCGGCUGCGCAGCAGGCGUGUGCGUUGUCCAGAUUCUUUGUGCCAUUCCUGGCAUACCAAAAACAAGAGUGGUGACUGCGCUCGUAUUUACCGGGGUGCAGCCUUGCGCGCUAAUAUUACUGUGCGAAUUUUACCCGUGGUGUAGAGGCCCCGCGCGCGCGCGACGCCACGUCAGCUCGCCCAGUGGUAAGUACAUUAAAGAAAAUAGUGUCGAAAGAUCGCGGAAAGAGCGCGUCUACUCGUCCACGCCCGUGUGUCCCAGCGGCGUCGUCCCACACAGGGGCCGCGCACCGAACGGAUUCGACAGCAGCGACGAGACGGCGAUAUACACACCGUCAGACACCGACAGACGGACAGACGGACAGACGGAUGAAAGAGAGCGAGAGACAGAGGGAGCGAGAGACAUUCGUGCGAAAGAAAGAGACAGAUCUACAAACCUAUCGUGUGAUAAAGACAAAUGUACAAAAGAGAACCUGAAUACGAUAGAGUGCGUGAAUGGUGUGUAUGCGUGGCGACGUUGUCCGGUAGAAAAAACACAUACUCAAUCCUCGUCAUAUUCCUCGUAUGUCGUGAUUGUCAGGUUCGUACUUCCGGUGACCGUGAUGUUCGCAUUGCUGGCUCCGAUGUUGCUGUUAGUGCUCUUACUAUUGCUUUCCGAGUGAGAAAGAAGGAAAGAAAUAUAGUAUAUGUAUAUAGUACAUAUACAUACGAGCGAGAAAGAGAGACGGAAAUAGAGAGAGAGAGAGAGAGAGAAAGAGAGAGGCUGUGUGAGAGAAAGGAUAGGAAAGAGGGAGGGAAAGAGCGAGCGAGCGAGCGAGUGAGCAAGCAAGAGAGAAAGAGAGCGUGAGCGUGAUGAAACGAUAGUCGGAUCAGUUUGAUAAACGAAGAGCUGGAGUCGUGCCGGUCUAUCCUUGCGGUUUGGCGGUACAUCCGUCUUUGUCCGAUUGUCGCGUGUUUACGAGCGUUGUGUCAGCUGUGUGUCAAGAGACGCAGCCGUGUGUAUACGUGUGUGUUACGCGAAGCGUGUGCAGUCUCUCUGGCAACGUGUACGGGACUCGGCCAGCGACGGAGACUCGCGUCGAGGAGGUUAGGAGCGAUCGGUGUGCCGGUGGUGGUGGGCUGCGUGCGUUUCCCCGAGGAGAGCGCGCCACGACAGAAACGUGUGCUUCUCUACCUAGUGCCUGCGUGCCUGCCCGCUCGCUCACCCGCUUCUGGUGAAUUCGUAUGGUGAAUUAUUGAUCCGCGGCGGCGUGUGCGUGCGGAAAAACCGCGCGCGACUAUAACGCACCGAUUCACGCUCUGUACUAAAACCCGCUACCAACGAACCGAUGAAAUCAAUGAGAAAGUUUGCCGAAAAUCAAAUAAAACGACAAUAACACGUUGUUUUGAAAUCUGUGCACGCGAGAACGCCUUGUAUAUCGUGCGAGAUCGAAGGUGGAGCAGUGGUGGCAGGAUUUUCUUUCCCCUAGGCCGGGACCAAGCGAGAAGUGUGCAAACACAUAUUACAUACGUUGCUCCGAACGCAGUGUCUUCCUUUCUCCUUUUCUGUCACUGCCCUGCCUGCCCUGCCUCUCUCCUCCUCUCUUUGCCUCUUUCUUUCUUUCUCGCUCUGUCUCGUUUCCCCGCUCUUUCCGUUAUACGUUUGUGUGUGUGCGUGUGCGUGUGCCUGUGUGUGUGUGUGUGUGUUCGUGCGUCUCGCUUUGGCUGCGUUACCUUUGCCGCGUGUGCAUUCACGAAACUAAACGCGGGAAAAUCUUCGGCGCGAAACAUAUCCCGAGGGAAUGUACACUUGUCCUGUGGUUAUCGCGGCACGCGUACGCUUCUCGGAGCCGGGCCAGUGAGUGAGAUUUCCAAGACCGUGCGAAAGUAUGUUGGCGUGAAGGCGACGAAAGUAUGUUGUGAGGCGACCACCGAGAUUAAGGUUCGAGGAACUUGAAGGCAAAGCUCUUUCGAGUCUUGAUAAUCCAGGACGAGCGAACCCUAUCUCCACCACCGCGACUUGGAUGGAUACUGUGCAUUAUUUCUGGAGUAAGUCUAUUUCGAGAAGCAGAUUUUUCGGCCACACACGAAACACACAGUUUUAAGAGGCGGCUGUUCGCGCGUUCCGCACGCGAAAUGCCAGAUUACGUGUGCACAAUGAGUGCACCCACGUCGCCGUCAUCCUGACCUGCUCGAGAAAUCCUCAUGAAAGACUGGGAACUCAGUACUCAGAAUAGCAUCGGUAUUGUAGCCAUUUCUUUUUUUUUUAU